rnacentral:rRNA from 1 species
UACGUAGGAGGCAAGCGUUGUCCGGAAUUACUGGGUGUAAAGCGCGUGUAGGUGGGAGGCCAAGUCUGUGGUGAAAUCGCCCGGCUCAACUGGGCGCAGUCCAUGGAAACUGGUCACCUGGAGGACGGUAGAGGCGAGUGGAAUUCCCGGUGUAGUGGUGAAAUGCGUAGAUAUCUGGAGGAACACCGGUGGCGAAGGCGGCAUCCUGGACCGGUAUUGACGCUGAGGCGCGAAAGCUAGGGGAGCAAACGGG